rnacentral:rRNA from 327 species
UUAAAUUGAAGAGUUUGAUCAUGGCUCAGAUUGAACGCUGGCGGCAGGCCUAACACAUGCAAGUCGAACGGUAACAGGAAGCAGCUUGCUGCUU